UUACAGCCAUAUCACGUUGAAACACCAGUUGUCAUAAUCACUGAAGUUAAGCAAUGUUGAGACUGGUUAGUACUUGAAUGGGUGACUGCUUGGGGAUUCAAGGUGCUGUAAGC